rnacentral:rRNA from 1 species
UGCCAGCAGCCGCGGUAACACGAACCGGACAAACGUUAUUCGGAAUUAUUGGGCUUAAAGGGUGCGUAGGCGGCUUAGUAGGUGGGGUGUGAAAGCCCUCGGCUCAACCGAGGAAUUGCGCCCCAAACCCCUAAGCUAGAGGGAGACAGAGGUAAGCGGAACUGAUGGUGGAGCGGUGAAAUGCGUUGAUAUCAUCAGGAACACCAGUUGCGAAGGCGGCUUACUGGGUCUCUUCUGACGCUGAGGCACGAAAGCUAGGGUAGCGAACGGGAUUAGAUA